rfam:Streptococcus uberis strain CAIM 1894 contig_007, whole genome shotgun sequence.
UAAUCCUUUAAAACGGUCCCGUGAGGCUGGCAAGGAGAAAAGAUCAAGAAAAGUGUACGCCUGUAUUGGGGUGUGCCAUAAUUUUGUAAGUCUCCUUGUAUACAAGGAGACUUUUUUUAU